rnacentral:rRNA from 1 species
UACAGAGGCGGCAAGCGUUGUUCGGAUUUACUGGGCGUAAAGGGUGCGUAGGCGGUUCCGUAUGUCGGAUGUGAAAGCUCACGGCUCAACCGUGGAAUGGCAUCCGAAACUGCGGGGCUGGAGUGCAGGAGGGGAGAGCGGAAUUCUCGGUGUAGCGGUGAAAUGCGUAGAUAUCGAGAGGAACACCGGUGGCGAAGGCGGCUCUCUGGACUGCAACUGACGCUGAGGCACGAAAGCUGGGGGAGCAAACAGGCUUAGAUACC